rnacentral:lncRNA from 1 species
UUCCCAAUCCCCUCCCAGUCCCUCCCAGUCCCUCCCAGUCCCUCCCAGUCCCUCCCAGUCCCUCCCAGUGCUCCCAGUCACCUUGUGGUACUGGGCUGCCCCCUCUGCCCGGAAGAACCACUCGCUCUCGGCCUCGGCCGGGGUCUCGCUGCGGCGCUUGCAGGCGAUGCACAGGAGCCGAAAGGGCGAGCCCAGCACGGCCUCGGUGCCCGAGGCCACCUCCACGCAGCCCCCCAGGGCUCCUGGAACUGCGGGAGGGGGUCAGGAAUGGCGGAAUUCCCGAAAAAUCCCGGAAUUCCGGCGGAAUUCCCGCGAAAUUUGGCGGGAAAAUGGGGAAAAUGUGCAAAAAAGGCAUCAAAAUCCAGCCCAAAAUGGUCCCAAAGAGACCCAAAAUUCACUCCCAGGGGUCCAAAAAUGGGAAUGGAGUAAAAGGAGAUUAGGAAUGUCGGAAUUCCCGAAAAAUCCUGGAAUUUUGGUGGAAUUCUGGCGAAAUUCCGGCGAAAUUUGGCGGGAAAAUGGUCAAAAUGUGCAAAAAAGGCAUCAAAAUCCAGCCCAAAACGGACCCAAAAUGGUCCCAAAAUGACCCAAAAUUCACUCCCAGGGGUCCAGAAAUGGGAAUGGAGUAAAAGGAGAUUAGGAAUGUCGGAAUUCCCAAAAAAUCCUGGAAUUUUGGUGGAAUUCUGGCGAAAUUCCAGCAAAAUUUGGCGGGAAAAUGGUGAAAAUCCGCGCUAAAGGUGUCGAAAUCCAGCCCAAAACGGACCCAAAAUGGUCCCAAAAGACCCCAAAAUUCAGUCCCAGAAGUCCAGAAAUGGGAAUGGAGUUAAGAAGGAUCAGGAAUGUCGGAAUUCCCAAAAAAUCCCGGAAUUCCGGCGGAAUUCCCGCGAAAUUUGGCGGGAAAAUGGGGAAAAUCCGCGCUAAAGGCGUCGAAAUCCAGCCCAAAACGGACUCAAAAUGGUCCCAAAAGACCCCAAAAUUCACUCCCAGGGGUCCAAAAACGGGAAUGGAGUUAAGAAGGAUCAGGAAUGUCGGAAUUCCCAAAAAAUCCCGGAAUUCCAGCGAAAUUCCAGCAAAAUUUGGCGGGAAAAUGGUGAAAAUCCGCGCUAAAGGCGUCGAAAUCCAGCCCAAAAUAGAUGAAGAAGACCCCAAAAUUCACUACCAGGGCUCCAGAAAUGGAAUUGGGAUUAAGAAGGAUCAGGAAUGGCAAAAUUCCCAAAAAAUCCCGGAAUUUUGGUGGAAUUCUGGCGAAAUUCCGGCGAAAUUUGGCGGGAAAAUGGUGAAAAUGGGUGAAAAAUGCAUCGAAAUCCAGCCCAAAAUGGUCCCAAAAAGACCCAAAAUUGCCCCAUUUGGACUUUUGGGGACAUUUUGGGGACAUUUGGGGACAUUUUGGGGGUCCCUGGUGACAUUUUGGGGACAUUUGGGGACAUUUUGGGGCCAUUUUGGGGACAUUUUGGGGACAUUUGGGGACAUUUUGGUGACAUUCGGGGGGGGUCCCGAACUCACCCUCGAGGAGCCCGAGGAGGAGCCACAGCAACAUGGCGGCACUUCGGCAAUUUCCGGACCCCUUCGGCAACUUCCGUACCCCUUCGGCAAUUUCCGUACCCUUUCGGCUCUUUCCGAGCCCCGGUUCGGUCUCUCCCUCUAUUUCCGGUCCGCUCCGCUUACUUCCGGCCCGGUUCCGUUUAGUCCGCUUCGGCUCUUUCCGGACGAGCUCGGCUCUUUUCGGCUCGGUUCCGAUUCCUCCGGCCUAGUUGGGCCCAGUUGGGCCCAGUUCGAGCCCAGUUCGGCCCAGUUUGGGCCCAGUUCAGCGUCUCCGGCCGCCCCUCAGCCCCCGGCCCGGCCCAUGGGCUCCUCCCCCGCCGCAGGAGGAGGACGAGGAUGAGGAGGACGAGGAGGAAGAGCCCGGGACGGCUCUGAGGAGCCGCUUCAAGGCAUGGCCGGACCCUCAGGAGGGUCCGGUUCGCCUCCGGUUCGCCUCCGGUUCGCCUCCGGUUCUGUUCCGCCGUUCGGCUCUUUCCGUGUCCCGGUUCGGUGGCGCUCGGCUCCGUUCGGCUUUUUCCGGCUCUUUUCGGCUCCGCUCGCUCUCGGCGCACUGCGGCGCCUGAGGGGGGGGCGGGACCAGCGGGGUGACGUCAGGAAAUGGGCGGGGCUUAAUGAAGCCACGCCCCCAACCGGAACCGGGCCCUCCCUGGUGUCCCCGAAAGGGUCGCGAUGUCCCCAAGGGUGUCCCCAGUGUCCCCAGGGGUGUCCAGUGUCCCCAAAUCCUUCCCAGGGUCCCCAAAGGUGUCCCAAGGUCCCCGAAGUGUCCCCAAGUCCCUCCCGGUGUCCCCAAGGAUGUCCCCAAGUCCCUCCCGGUGUCCCCAGAGAUGUCCCCAAGUCCCUUCCGGUGUCCCCUGGGUGUCCCAGUGU